UACGUAGGGCGCGAGCGUUGUCCGGAAUUAUUGGGCGUAAAGAGCUCGUAGGCGGCUUGUCACGUCGGGUGUGAAAGACCGGGGCUUAACUCCGGUUCUGCAUUCGAUACGGGCUAGCUAGAGUGUGGUAGGGGAGAUCGGAAUUCCUGGUGUAGCGGUGAAAUGCGCAGAUAUCGGGAGGAACACCAGUAGCGAAGGCGACACUCUGGGCCGGUACUGACGCUGAGGAGCGAAAGCGUGGGGAGCAAACAGG
rnacentral:rRNA from 1 species